CACCCCGUGGCAACACACACCACUGACACACUCAUCUUCCUACCUAUCUUUCUCUCUCUCGCACGGACACAGUACAAGCAUCAAGCAGCGCCACCGCCCUCCCGCCGCCGGCGCAGGGACCCUCCCCCUCCCCCUCCCUUGCUGUGUGCUGCUUGGGCAGGGACCGCCGCUCCCCUGCCUCCCUAGUCCCCACCGCUGCUGAGACGGACGCGAUUCCCUUGCCUAUCCACCUCCGUCGGCGGAGGCGCAGAGUUCGUCUCCACCAGAUCCUCGGUCGCGGACUCGAUGUGAGCGCUGGAGGGUUCUGCAGCGCCUACUUCCUCCUCCCGCGGGACAAGACGCAGAAUCGGAGCGAGCGCCGAGGAGCGCCGGCGAGUCCGCCUUGCUCCGAUGGGUUGGGCGUGUUGCGAGCUUCACCAUGUGGCCAAGUACAACGUGCUCCAGAGUGGAUGGUCGACGCCCUCCCCACCUCGCCCGUGACUGGUUUAGUUCUGACGGAAACAGCUAUGGGACAGGUACAACAUGAAGUUGGGUUCUAGUGUUUUAGCCACAGUGCAGGGAAGCAAGCUUGGAUUCACUGAAUGAUGUGUACACACCAAGUGCAACUCGCUUUCAUAAUAGCAAGCAACCCAUUUCUGAGGUACGUUCUAUUCGCUUGCAGCCCUUUUAAGAGUUUGAUCUCCUCUGAUGGUGUUGCUUGAUAAGCGGUGUUUAUCGAUGUGCUGUCUCAGAAAAGCGCUUUCUUCAGGACAACAUAUAAGAACAAUUUUUGCUUAAUUGUAUUGCAGAUAUUUAGAGAAGCAUGUACUGAAUUUGAUUGGCACAAAAUGAUUUGUCGUAGAUUGUCAUA